rnacentral:sRNA from 1 species
CGCGCUCGCACCGUGGACGAGGGUGUUGUCCACGUCGAAGAACGCGAGGACCGGGGUGUCCGCCUGCUCGUC